rnacentral:rRNA from 1 species
ACGGUCCUAAGGUAGCGAAAUUCCUUGUCAGGUAAGUUCUGACCCGCACGAAAGGCGUAACGAUUUGGGCGCUGUCUCAGCUGUAGACUCGGUGAAGUCUUAGUACCUGUGAAGAUGCAGGUUACCCGCGACUAGACGGAAAGACCCCAUGGAGCUUCACUGCAGGUUGAUAUUGGGAUUUGAUGCAGCAUGUACAGGAUAGGUAGGAGGCAAAGAGAUGGAUACGCCAGUAUUCAAGGAGCCGCUGUUGGGAUACUACCCCUGUUGUAUUGGAUUUCUAACCGGACGACGUAGAGCCGUUGACGGGACAGUGUCAGUCGGGCAGUUUGACUGGGGCGGUCGCCUCCCAAAGAGUAACGGAGGCGCCCAAAGAUACCCUCAGCUUGGAUGGAAACCAAGCGCAGAGUGCAAAGGCAAAAGGGUGUUUGACUGCGAGACCUACAAGUCGAGCAGGGACGAAAGUCGGGCUUAGUGAUCCGGCGGUGCUGAAUGGAAAGGCCGUCGCUCAACGGAUAAAAGCUACCCUGGGGAUAACAGGCUGAUCUCCCCCAAGAGUUCACAUCGACGGGGAGGUUUGGCACCUCGAUGUCGGCUCAUCGCAUCCUGGAGCUGAAGUCGGUUCCAAGGGUUGGGCUGUUCGCCCAUUAAAGCGGUACGCGAGCUGGGUUCAGAACGUCGUGAGACAGUUCGGUCCCUAUCUGUCGUGGGCGCAGGAAAUUUGAGAAGAGCUGUCCUCAGUACGAGAGGACCGGGAUGGACGCAUCAAUGGUGGACCAGUUGUCACGCCAGUGGCAUAGCUGGGUAGCUAAAUGCGGAAGGGAUAAACGCUGAAGGCAUCUAAGUGUGAAACCCACUUCAAGAUGAGAUUUCCCAUUGCGCAAGCAAGUAAGACCCCUUAAAGACGAUAAGGUAGAUAGGUCAGGAGUGUAAGCAUGGUGACAUGUUAAGCGGACUGAUACUAAUAGGUCGAGGGCUUGACCGA